rnacentral:rRNA from 1 species
GUCGUACCUGUAACCAUCACUGAUUUGAAGAGCUUGCUCAGAUAUGACGAUGGACAUUGCAAAGAGUGGCGAACGGGUGAGUAACACGUGGGAAACCUACCUCUUAGCAGGGGAUAACAUUUGGAAACAGAUGCUAAUACCGUAUAACAAUGACAACCGCAUGGUUGUUAUUUAAAAGAUGGUUCUGCUAUCACUAAGAGAUGGUCCCGCGGUGCAUUAGCUAGUUGGUAAGGUAAUGGCUUACCAAGGCGAUGAUGCAUAGCCGAGUUGAGAGACUGAUCGGCCACAAUGGGACUGAGACACGGCCCAUACUCCUACGGGAGGCAGCAGUAGGGAAUCUUCCACAAUGGGCGAAAGCCUGAUGGAGCAACGCCGCGUGUGUGAUGAAGGGUUUCGGCUCGUAAAACACUGUUGUAAGAGAAGAAUGACAUUGAGAGUAACUGUUCAAUGUGUGACGGUAUCUUACCAGAAAGGAACGGCUAAAUACGUGCCAGCAGCCGCGGUAAUACGUAUGUUCCAAGCGUUAUCCGGAUUUAUUGGGCGUAAAGCGAGCGCAGACGGUUAUUUAAGUCUGAAGUGAAAGCCCUCAGCUCAACUGAGGAAUUGCUUUGGAAACUGGAUGACUUGAGUGCAGUAGAGGAAAGUGGAACUCCAUGUGUAGCGGUGAAAAUGCGUAGAUAUAUGGGAAGA